rnacentral:rRNA from 1 species
GAUGAACGCUAGCGGCAGGCCUAACACAUGCAAGUCGAGGGGUAGAACACUUCGGUGUUUGAGACCGGCGCACGGGUGCGUAACGCGUAUGCAAUCUACCUUGUACAGGGGAAUAGCCCAGAGAAAUUUGGAUUAAUGCCCCAUAGUAUCUUUGCCUGGCAUCGGGUGAUUAUUAAAGUUCCAACGGUAAAAGAUGAGCAUGCGUCCUAUUAGCUAGAUGGUAAGGUAACGGCUUACCAUGGCAACGAUAGGUAGGGGUCCUGAGAGGGAGAUCCCCCACACUGGUACUGAGACACGGACCAGACUCCGACGGGAGGCAGCAGUGAGGAAUAUUGGACAAUGGGCGCAAGCCUGAUCCAGCCAUGCCGCGUGCAGGAAGACGGUCCUAUGGAUUGUAAACUGCUUUUGUACGGGAAGAAACACUCCCUCGUGAGGGAGCUUGACCGUACCGUAAGAAUAAGGAUCGGCUAACUCCGUGCCAGCCGCCGCCGUAAUAC